ACGGGUGAGUAAUGCCUAGGAAUCUGCCUGGUAGUGGGGGACGAACGUUUCGAAAGGAACGCUAAUACCGCAUACGUCCUACGGAGAAAGCAGGGACCUUCGGGCCUUGCGCUAUCAGAUGAGCCUAGGUCGGAUUAGCUAGUUGGUGAGGUAAUGGCUCACCAAGGCGACGAUCCGUAACUGGUCUGAGAGGAUGAUCAGUCACACUGGAACUGAGACACGGUCCAGACUCCUACGACGGAGGCAGCAGUU
rnacentral:rRNA from 1 species